CCUACGGGAGGCUGCAGUGGGGAAUAUUGGACAAUGGGGGCAACCCUGAUCCAGCCAUGCCGCGUGUGUGAAGAAGGCCCUCGGGUUGUAAAGCACUUUCAGUGAGGAAGAACGCCUGGUGGUUAAUACCCAUCAGGAAAGACAUCACUCACAGAAGAAGCACCGGCUAACUCCGUGCCAGCAGCCGCGGUAAUACGGAGGAUGCGAGCGUUAAUCGGAAUUACUGGGCGUAAAGCGCGCGUAGGUGGCUUGAUAAGCCGGUUGUGAAAGCCCCGGGCUCAACCUGGGAACGGCAUCCGGAACUGUCAAGCUAGAGUGCAGGAGAGGAAGGUAGAAUUCCCGGUGUAGCGGUGAAAUGCGUAGAGAUCGGGAGGAAUACCAGUGGCGAAGGCGGCCUUCUGGACUGACACUGACACUGAGGUGCGAAAGCGUGGGUAGCAAACAGGAUUAGAUACCCGAGUAGUC
rnacentral:rRNA from 1 species